AGAAGUUUUAAUAUAAUUGUGCAAACUCUAAUAGGGAAAUAGAGGACUUAGGUGUCAAGAUCUAUCUUGGGAUGUUGGAUAUUAAUACAAAUUUAAUCCAAUGCCCAGUGGCGAGGUUGGUUUCGCCACACACGUCUAGUUACAUCCUGAGCUGCUUCUGUGUUUUUUUACUUUGUACCAAAUUACAGAGAAUGGAUCACAUGAUAUGGGGAGGGGCUGGAGGAGGCAUUAGAAGGAAGCAAGUUGAAAUGUGGAGGGAGAGUGGAGGGAUAAGAUCAAAUAGGGAGGGGGAUAAAAUGACAUGGGGAAAAGGGAGAGAAUGUUGGAUAAGAUGACACGAGGACGUUCAUAGAGACAUGCCUUAUCUUCUCUACAUCGCUUUGUUUCUGUGCACUCAGUGAAUUGUGUUUCCUUACCUUAGCUACCCCCUUAAUUCUGUAUUGCGCUUCUAUCAUUCACAUUUGUUGAAUAUUCUAUAAUAUAUUUUUACGCUUGUAUCAGUUGAUACUUAGAACUUACAGUGUGUGUUCAUUGAGGCACAUACAUAUAUCAUCCACAUAUAAGCCUCACCCUUCUGUCAGUCCCUACAUUGGCUUCCUAUAAAAUAUAGAGCUCAAUUUAAAAUUCUGGUUCUUGCUUUCAAAUCUCUACAAUGCUGCUCCCACCUAUCUAUCCUCCCUUAUACACAAGUAUGUCCCGUCUAGGCCCUUACGAUCUGCUGAAGAUUUACGUCUAUCUUCUGUCCGUACUCCCACCUCUGAUGCUCGCCUUCCAGAUUUCUCGAGGGCUGCACCGUUCUUGUGGAACUUGCUUCCCUCCUCCGUUAGAUGCUCGCCCAGUUUCCACUCCUUCAAAAAAUCGUUAAAAACCCACUUCUUCAUAAAAGCAUAUCAAUUAAACUGUUAAUAGCUCCUGACUGAUUCCUCUUCUGCAACUGUCACUAGUCUAAUACUAUCCUUACCGUUUUGUGUAAUUUUACCCCACUCCCUCUAGCAUGUAAGCUCAUUGAGCAAGGCCCUUAACCCCUCUGUUCCUGUGUGUCCAACUUGUCUGGUUACAACUACAUGUCUGUUCGUCCACCCAUUGUAAAGCGCUGCGGAAUUUGACGGCGCUCUAUAAAUAUCAUAAUAAUAAUAAUAAUAAUAAUAAUAAUCAUGUCCAGAGGUUAGUACACCAGCAAUAUAAUGACAGGCCUGGUGCAUUGCAUAGAGCCAUAAAACAAACAUAACGUUGAGGUGAGCAGCCCAACAUACUGGGGCACCCAGAGCAUGUUCUUCUAGGAAAUAUUGUUUAACUUAAGGCCAAAAGGAAUUUAUUGUCACACGAUCUUAUUUCCAUAGUUGGUUGCAUUUUUAGCAGCCACGUAAUGUAAAAAACAUGUUACAAGUAAUUAAGUCCCUAAUUCAACAAUCAAAACAUACUGACUGUCUGACAUAAUUUGUAUCUUUAUACAAUCUGAGAUGGCUUCUGUCAGACGCCAGUUCACUCCUCCUGAUCAAACCAAUAAUUUACCAAUUAUUAAUUAAUAAAAAUCAAGAUGAGACAUAAAUAUGAGUUAAUGUUACAUUUAUUAGUUAUAUUUAGCAGUUUUAAUAUAAUUGUGCAAACUCUAAUAGAGGACUUAGGUGUCAAGAUCUAUCUUGGGAUGUUGGAUAUUAAUACAAAUUUGGCCAGGUAACAGCCAAGAUGUGGGUGACCUCUGGACUCACGAAGAGUCAUCCUUCAGCACUCAGGAAAGGAAAAACCUCCUGUGGAGGAAACCUCUGGGGAACCAUGGCUGGAAGGACUGCCCUUCCCUCUGGGCAUUAAGAGGCAAAUACAGAGAAUUCAGUAGAUGAAGGGCUUAGUCUUUUAUAAAUUAUAUAACUUGGUGGAGAGACAGAAAGACAGGCAGAAACACAGACUGACAUAGAGAGAAAAACAGACAGAUAUAUAUAGACGGAUUACUAAAGCAGACUAAACAGAGAUUGAUACAUACCGAUAGCUGGAAAAAAGUUGCUCAUUAAGUAAUCCCCUCCCUGCCCUAUUUGCAAUCCGCCCAAUCCCUUGAUGAAGCACCAAUAUUUGAUAAUGGGUAUACGAGUAGCUGCACGGAAUACAACGCCCCCUGCUAGAACCUCCAUUGCUAAGAUUAGAUUGAGGAUAGUCAAGCUCCAAGUCUUCAGACACAUCCAAGUGAGGCAGAGAUCUCUAAGCCAUUGAGAAGGUACGAGAACCAUGAAUAUAGGUGAAGCUCUGUCAGGGUCUCAGUUAUAACUGGAAAGGAAUAGAAUGUUCAAGCAGUUACAGCAGCAAUUAUGUUUAUGACAUCACAGCAUGACAUCACCUAUUAUGAUCUCACUGCUAAUGAUCACAGCUCCUG